AUGUACCGAUCAAGAUCAACGCCACGUUACAAGGCAACCCUCUCAAAAUGCAUAAUAAAAUUAUCCCCUCUACCUCCCUUCAAAAGUUUGUGGAAGGUGAGGAGACGGGUCCGCGCGCUGUGGCUACAGCCUGCGGACAGCGCACGGACACAGGUGCCGCGACCGGACGGCUCGCCCCCUGUUCAACGGGCACGAGCGCGACGUCUAGGCAGCUCGUUGUUUUUACAGCGGCUGGUUCUGGUACGUCUCCUACGCUCGUUGAGCCUCCUCCCUUUCAUGGGAAGCCCCCCUUGGUUCACACACAGUGUGGAGGCGGUAGGGGCCGAGGAAUACGGGUUAUUCCUGGACGGUCUUCCUCUGCUGUCGGCUCGCCCUCUCUCCGACCGCUAUGCGUGUUGGGAAGAGCGGUGCUUUCUACCAUCGUGGUUGGACAACACGUUGAGAUGGGGCCAUCCCAUACAGUUCAAGCGUCGUCCCCCACCCUUUUUGGGGUUGGUGGAGACCACGCUACGGGACCCGGCUGCGAGCACGGCUCUGGCAGCAGAGGUGGCCCGUCUCUUGGUGAAGGGGGCCAUCACUGUCGUUCCCCCCCACGAGUCUCACCUAGGGUUUUAUUCCCGCUACUUCCUGGUUUCCAAGAAGUCAGGGGAAAAGAGACCUAUUCUGGAUCUUCGUUUGUUCAACAGAUUCGUUGCCGCGAGGAAAUUCAGAAUGCUCACUGUCGGAUCGUUUUUCCGGUGUGUGAGAGAGGGCGAUUGGUUCACAUCCCUGGAUCUCAAGGAUGCUUACUUCCACGUCCCUGUUCGGCAGGCGCACAGGAAGUUUCUCCGCUUUGCCUUUAUGGGGAUGGCGUACGAGUACCAGUGUCUGCCGUGCGGCUACUCCCUGGCUCCGCGCACCUUCUUAAAGUGUUUGGCGUUGGAACUGCUCAGGCGUCAGGGAAAGAGGAUUCUCUUCUACCUAGACAACCUACUUAUUCUGAGCAACGCAGAGGAGGCCGCGAGAAGGGACACCAUGACGGUGAUAAACCAUCUCUCCUUCCUGGGUUUUGCCAUCAACUGGGAAAAGAGCUCCCCGCUCCCCAGCCGGCAGACAGUCUAUUUGGGGCUUUGCCUAGACUCAGCCACCAUGACUGCGAUGCUUUCGCCUCCUCGGCUAGACACCAUCCUGUCGGCGCUCUCCCGUUUUCGCGUUCGCAGAAAUGUGACCGCACUGUCCACGAUGCACCUGUUAGGGCUGAUGGCAGCUGCCCCGUGGUCCCCCUGGGUCUGCUUUUUAUGCGCAGACUCCAGCGGUGGUUUUCUUGCCAACGGUUGGACCCCAGGCGACACAAGCUCAGGGUGCUCCUCGUUCCCCAUUCGGUGUCGCCAUACCUGGAAUAUUGGGCCCUCCCUUCUCAGGGGUGUUCCCCUGGGCAGGGUGGCGUCCUACGUAGUGGUCUUCACGGACGCCUCGUUGACGGGUUGGGGAGGACUGGCCUCUUACUCGGUCGGAGGCGAGUGGCACACGGCCCCUGCAGCACACAUAAAUGUGUUGGAGCUCGACGCUGUGAGGAAAGUGCUGUUGCAUUUCUUUCACCUGGUGCGCGGCCGCCACGUUCUGAUCACGACAGACAGCGUGUCGGCGGCGGCGUACAUCAACAGACGGGGGAGUCUGCUCCCCUGCUCUCCACCGAAAGGUGGUCGAGCUCUGGCUUUGGGCUCAUCAGUAUCUCCUCAGUCUGAGAGCCCUGCAUAUCGCGGGAACCCAGAACUUUGGGGCGGACCUCAUGUCUCGCGGCGUUCCCCGCCGAGACGAGUGGCGUUUACAUCCCGACAUUGUCAGACUGAUCUGGCAGAGGUUCGGGACGGCGCAGGUGGACCUCUUCGCGUCCAGGGAGAACACGCACUUCAGGUGGUGGUUCUCCCUCAGCCCUCGGGAUCUUCCCCCGUUGGGGGUAGAUGCGUUGGCACACACACCUUGGCCGCGGGCUCUCUUGUAUGCGUUUCCCCCGCUCCAGCUGAUCCUUCCUCUUCUGGAACGGGUCAGACAGGAGAGAUGUCCCUGAUAAUAGUGGCCCCGGAGAACCGUUCAGCUCCGUGUUUUCCAGAGCUGGCUGCGCUCUCGCGGUCGGCGCCGUGGCUGGUACCGUUCAGGCCGGAUGCGCUUUCACAGGCCCACGGGACGGUGCACCACCCGCCCGAUGUCUCAGGACGGCUGUUGGUUUGGCUCCUGAGAGGUUGA
rnacentral:lncRNA from 1 species